UGUCCCAGGACUGCUGCAGCUAACUCUGCAUCACCUUGCAGUUCACACACUGCUGCCUUUCUGCAGUCCUCUCUCACUCUCUCCUAUUUUCCUCCUAUCUUUGGUCCUUCAACAUACCCCCCCCUCCCUUUCUGGUCUUUUUAUUUUCUUAUCUGUCGUCCACCCCUCAUUUAUUUUAUCAAUAUGUACCGGAACCCUUGGAUCUCCAACUAUAUCAACCAUGUGAAGUUGUGCCAAGGCUUCACAGGAGAAACAGCUCCUAAAGUUGGCAAUUCCAAACUACAACGGAGAGCUCUUAGCUUCCAGAAAGAGUACUUGUUUGAAGAGAAAGACGAGGGAACCAACAAAGAAUUAGAUGUCAGUCUGCUGGGAAAUACACUCAAGGUCUCAGAAUUAAGGAAACGUUUUGAGAGUAUAAGCUUGAGUCAGAGUUGGGACAUGAACAGGAAAGAGAGAAUUGCAAGGCGUCUGGAGGGAAUCGAUAGUGACGUUCUCCAAAAUCUCCCAGGCUGUGGCGGUCUAGUUACCAAUCGACUGCUAGAGGAGGACACUCCGAGAUAUACCCGUGCAGCAGACACUUGUGACCCCUGUACAGUUUCUGUUCAGCACUAUGGCAAAAAUGACCCAAACUGCCCAAAUCUGCACAGUGCAGAGGUUCAGUCCAGAACCCACACAGUCCAACCGGAGUCUGUCUACCGCACUGGCUCUGGUCAAGUGGCAGAGCUUGACUCUAAAGCCGAAAGGAUCGCACGCUACAAGGCAGAACGGCGCCGUCAGCUAGCAGAGCGCUACGGCAUCUCUCUGGAUCAGGAGACGGAGACUGACUACACUGCUCAUUACUCCAGAACCUCCAGAGAGCCCGAUGGCUCAGACCAUCAACACAGGUCAAAGGUAGAAGGAGGAGAUGGGGUGGACCAUAAUGCUUCCAUAUCCGAACGCGAGAGGAUGAUGAAUCUGGAGAACCAGAGGAGGGCACAGGAGCGGGAUAGAUUGCAUGGAGGUGGAGGGGUUGCACUUGACCCAUCUGCAUAUAUGGAUGUAUCUGGGUCUGCCAGGGUGCCAGGGAAGGAACCAGGGGCGAUGGGGGUUCCCAGCUCACCUAAUGCAGGCCAAAGGGCCAUGAUGCCAUCUCCCAAACAGGGAGCAUCUCCUGGUGAUCUGUUUAUUGAGCAGCAGGCUCACAACAUCCUCCAAAGACACGGCUCCUGUAGCCAGUCAACAAACCAGUGGUCACUUCAGACUGAUGCAGAAGGAGACACCCUCUCUCCAAUCAACUGGCCUUCCAGAAUCCGAGUUAGGGAGAGACUGGCCCGUGAUGAGCCAUUUUACGGGGGUCAAACAGCAGAGGGACCUGCAUACAACCAGUUUCCCCAAUCAUAUCCUCGAUAUCACCCUCACAAUCAGAACCUCCCUGAUGCUCCAGCCAAACAACGGCUGAAUUACCCUGGACAAGAGGAACGCCAUGACCUGUGUGGCCAGAGCUACUUCACUAUGGGCAGCGAAUCCGGUUCCAGGCAUAAACAAGAGAUUCAAGAAAUGCUUGAACUGGAGGGAAAACAGGAUGUGAGGAUGGAGGGGCUCCUGCAGAGCAGGAAGUCAGUUUUACCUUCUGAAAUUCGGGGGAAAGAACAGAGCACUGUUGACCCAUGCCGAGGAAGAACUGACAAUGUAGAGGUAAACUCAGGCAUCAGUCGGCACAGGAGAGAGGAUGUUGCAAAAGACCCCAGAGGGUGGCGUAGAGGUCAGUCAGGGCAGGAAGUUUACACAGAGCAUGUGUCCCGACUUCAGGCCACAGAGUCUAUGCAAGCAAGAGCUCGUGAAGCUCAUAAAAGUGCUGACACUAGCUGCUAUGCUGCAGUCCAGACCUCCAGUGGGAGAUAUAUGCCAAAUUCAUCCAAACCUCUGGAUACUGGAAAUGUCCAACAGAACGCCAUCCAGAACCCAAUCAGAGAGGCUGCCCCUCAGGAGAAUGUACCCAAUGGCGAUCACCCAUCCCAUGAUGCCAGGGUUUCAGUUGCCCAACUCCGCCACACCUACCUGGAAAGUGUUGCAAGUCCUCGGAAAGCCAAACUGGCAGAAGAUGUGCCUCCAGAUACACAUGCACCCUGGAGAAGUGAGAGAGUCAAAGAUCGCUCAUCUCAUCGCCCUUUGCGGUAUAUCUGUCCCACUGAGAGUAGAAUUACAUCUGAGAGGUUUAGAACGCAGCCUAUCACAUCAACUGAGUGCGAACAGUCGGACCGGUCUCAUCUAAGCCCUGAACUACCGAGCCCUGAGGUAGAUGAAGAGAAACUGGAUGAGAGAGCAAAGCUGAGUGUAGCCGCCAAGCGCUCUCUCUUCAGGGAGCUUGAGAAGACUUCAGAUGGUUCAGUUUUGAAGGCAUGGAGCAGGAACGCUGCUGUUGAACGGAGGCUGAGGAGAGGUCAGGAUCGCUCCCGCACUCAGCCGGUCACCUCAGAGGAAGUGGUCAUUGCUGCUACUGUCCCUGGCCAUUUGUCACAGUCCGUGACUGUACAAACCUCUGUAACACGUGUUCCUAGUCCCACUCUAGUCAGCAGCUCUGUGACCAAAUACAGCUUGCAGGCAUCAUCUCAGCAGAACUCCAUGGUGAGGGAGCAGGCCAGAGAGGUUCGGCUGGCUCAGAAGGCAGAGGAGAUGGAUCAAGCUCGCCAAGUGUCUCCAGGAGAGGAUAGUCAAGAGGAGCCAGACCUUUCCACGCUCAGUCUGGCAGAGAAGAUGGCACUCUUCAACCGCCUGGCACAGCCGUCCAGCCACGGCCCUCGGGCCAGGGGAGAUACUCGGUCUCGUAGAAGUAAUGCACGCUACCAGACUCAGCCAAUCACACUAGGAGAGGUUGAACAGGAUGAUUCUGAGAUGUUUGACGAGGAAUCAGAGUUCUCAGAGCUUCUGAGUGAUCUGGAACAUCUGCAGCCUCCGGGUGGAGCUCAUUUUGCAUCCACCUCUACCUCAGCCCUGAGAUCCUCAACCGUUUCCACUGAACAUGCUGGUGACAUCCACCUGACCAUGCCCAAUGUAUCAGGCCCUGCCUACUAUGAGCAGAUCCUCUCCCCACCUCACCACUCUCAACCUGCCCAAGAGGUCCAGACACAUCGGAGCCCAGAUGUGUCCCCGGUGGCCCAAGGAGAAAAGCUAGUAUUAAGCAUGGGGAAGAUGAAGCUCCCCUCUCCAGAGUGCAUGAAACAGACACCACAUGCUCAACCAGCCAGAGACUGGGAGGAGCAUAAAGGGCACAGUGAGGCUCUGGUGACCCCUCAAGGCCUUUCAGAAACAGAUGGAGAGCUCAAGUCAAAGGCAGCAAUGUCAGACCUUCCUGUGCACACAGCCGCAGUACGUGGAGCAGCAGCUGUAUCACAGGGCUCAUCCUCUUUACAGAGUGGCUCUCUCGUACAGCACACACACGCACAGACACACACAGAGUCUGCCGGACACCUCUUGGAGGACAACAGGAGAGAAGAAGAGCAGGAGAGUGACUUUAAAACAGAGGAGGGAGACAAGCUCUCAGACAUCAUGUCCUCCAGACAGAUGUCCAUCAAAGAGAGGCUGGCUCUGUUGAAGAAGAGUGGAGAGGAAGACUGGAGGAACAGGAUAAAUAAAAAACAGGAUGUGGUGAAGGUUGCGGUGUCUGAAAGACAUGCCCAGCUAUGGGAAGUGGAGCAGAGCUUCAAGAAGAAGGAUGAUGGGCCGAUGAUAGAUGACUUUGCUGUGUCUGAUCAACUUUGGGAUCCUGUCUUUUCCUCCUCCUUUUCGUGUGCCUCUGAACCACUGGAUCAAAUAGCAGUCCUCCCCAAGGCUACCCCCCUGCCCGUGCAGGUGGAUGAGUGUCACCCCUGGAGACGGAAGAGGAUGGGAAAUGAGGUGGUGGAGAGUCAGCACAUUGAGCGAAACGAGAUGUCUAUUCAGGAACGCAAGCAGCUCAUCACCGCACAAGAGGAUGCCUGGAAGGUCAAAGGUUACGGAGCAUUCAAUGACUCCACUCAGUUUACAGUGGCUGGCCGUAUGGUUAAAAAAGGUCUGGCAGCCCCCUCUGUUCUCUCAAAUCCAGUGUUGUCCCCUCUGUCCUCUAAAAAUAAGAAUGCCUCCCAUACCAUCUCAAAGCCACAAGAAGUAGAGAUUGAAGUCAGACAGGACAUGAAGCUGGAAUCAGACAAGAAGCUGGAUAAGUUGGAGUCAUUCCUUGGUCGGCUCAAUAGUAAAGUUUCAGGACUUCAAGAGGCCACGAUUGCAGUCACAGAGAAGUCUGUUAAAGAGGUCAUGACUGUAGAUGAUGAGAUCUUCGAUAAGUUUUAUCGACACACAGAGGAUAUGGCCAAGAUCACUAGCAGCGUGGAAAUCAACGACGAUUUUGAUGCCAUUUUUGGAGGGCAGCUGCCUAGGUUGACCUCAGACAUGGUGCAGCACAAGCGUGCAGUGCGGCCCACCAGAAACGUUCAGUCAUCCAAAAACCCCCUGAAAAUGCUGGCCGUUCGGGAGGACAUCAGACAUGAGUACACAGAACAGAGAUUGAAUAUCGGCCUUUUGGAGAGCAAGAGAAUGAAACAGGAAAAGAUGAAUAAGAACAGCGGUUUCUCUGAGGUUGCUCUUGCUGGAUUGGCCAGUAAAGAAAACUUCAGCAGUGUGAGUCUGCGAAGUGUGAAUGCAUCUGAGCAGAGUUCCAACAACAGUGCCAUGCCCUAUAAAAAGCUCAUGCUCAUUCAGGUCAAAGGUCGACGGCAUGUUCAGACCAGACUGGUUGAGCCUAGAGCUUCUUCCUUGAACAGUGGUGACUGCUUCCUUUUGAUCACACCCCAUCAUUGCUUUAUCUGGAUUGGAGAAUUUGCAAAUGUUAUCGAAAAGGCCAAAGCUGCAGAGUUAGCUACAUUCAUUCAGACCAAGCAUGACCUGGGAUGCAGAGCCUCGUAUGUGCAGACCAUUGAGGAAGGUGCCAACACACACACUCAUGCCGCCAAAGAGUUUUGGAAGAUUCUUGGUGGCCAAGCCAGUUAUCAAGCUGCUGGCACUCCAGAAGAAGAUGAGUUCUAUGAGAGUGCCGUUGUAGAAACUAACUGCAUCUACGGGCUCGUGGAGGAUAAACUUGUUCCUGAAGAUGACUUCUGGGGUCGAGUCCCUCGCUGCUCCAUGCUUAAGCCUAAAGAAGUGCUGGUCUUUGAUUUUGGUAGCGAGAUCUACGUAUGGCAUGGUAAGGAGGUGACACUGGCACAGAGAAAAGUGGCUUUUCAGCUGGCAAAGCACUUGUGGAAUGGCACCUUUGACUACACCAACUGUGAUAUUAAUCCUCUGGACCCUGGAGAGUGCAACGACCUUAUACCCAGGAAAGGCCAGGGACGACCAGACUGGGCUGUGUUUGGCAGGUUAACUCAGCACAAUGAGACUAUUCUUUUUAAAGAAAAGUUUUUGGAUUGGAGUGACACCAAGAAAUCCACUCAGAAGAAUGGUGACUCACAGGUUGUUGAAAAUAAGGAGCAUCGGGGUGGGCAAUGUCGGCCGUACAAUGCUUCACUGAUGUUGAUGACAGAAUGGACACCAGUCAAGACCGUUCUGGAUGGGGUCAAUGUUGGACGAGGUUAUGGAUUGGUGGAAGGUGACGAGGGGCGUAAUUUUGAGAUCAGCACCUUGUCUGUUGAUGUCUGGCACAUUCUAGAGUUUGACUACAGUCGACUACCCAAACAGAGCAUUGGUCAGUUCCAUGAAGGGGACACAUACGUGGUCAAAUGGAAGUACAUGAUCAGCACAGCAGUUGGCAAGAGACUGCAUUCAGAACGGAUCAUCGGUCCAGGGAAGGAGAAAUGUUGUUAUUUCUUCUGGCAGGGUCGUAACUCCACUGUGAGUGAGAAGGGAACCUCAGCACUGAUGACCGUAGAGCUGGAUGAGGAGAGGGGUGCUCAGGUCCAGGUACAGCAGGGAAAGGAGCCUCCUUGUUUCUUACAGUGCUACAAUGGAGGAAUGAUUGUUCAUGCUGGAAAGAGAGAAGAGGAGGAAGAAAAUGUCCAAAAUGACUGGCGCUUAUACUGUGUGAGAGGAGAGAAACCCAUAGAGGGCCAUCUGCUAGAGGUGGUGUGCCAUUGCAGCAGCUUACGGUCUCGCACUUCUAUGAUCCUCCUGAACAUCCCAAAAGCCAGCAUGUACCUGUGGCAUGGCUGCAAAGCACAGAUGCACACAUGUGAUGUGGGUCGUACCGCUGCCAACAAAAUCAAAGAGCAGUGUCCUCUCGAGGCUGGGCUUCACAGCAGCAGUAAGGUGUCCAUUCAGGAGUGUGAUGAGGGAGCUGAACCUCAGGGCUUCUGGGAGGCCUUGGGAAGGAGAGAUCGAAAGGCGUAUGACUGCAUGCUACAGGAUCCGGGAAAGUUCAACUUUACUCCACGGCUGUUCCAGUUAAGCAGCACUUCAGGAGAGUUUGUGGCAAUGGAGUUUGUGUAUCCAUCCAGGGAACCAAAUUUGGUCAAUUCGAUGCCUUUCCUACAGGAGGAUUUGUAUACAGCUACUCAGCCAGCCCUGUUUUUGGUGGAUAAUCACCAUGAAGUGUACCUGUGGCAGGGCUGGUGGCCUCAGGAUAGUGAGAGCACGGGCUCUGCUCGGAUACGAUGGGACUCUGACAGGAAGUGUGCCAUGGAAACUGUGCUCCAGUAUAGCAAAGAAAAAAAUGAGAGAAAAACUCCAAAAUCAUACCUGAUCCAUGCAGGACUUGAGCCUCUUACAUUCACUAAUAUGUUUCCCAGCUGGGAACACAGAGAGGAUAUUGCUGAGAUCACAGAGAAGGAGGCUGAAGUAUGUAAUCAGAUCAUUCUGGUUGAAGACGUAUUGACUAGACUCUGCAAGACCACUUACCCCCUCGCUGAUCUUCAAGCCCAUCCACUACCAGCAGGUGUUGACCCUCUUCGUCUUGAGAUCUACCUUUCAGAUGAGGACUUUGAGUCUUGCGUCUGAUGAGGUUAAUUUUUCCCUUCACAUGCCAAGGUGUAGGGGCUUCUGGGAAGAAAGCAUUGGAAAUGACAAGAAGUGAGUAUGAGGCACUGCCAGGAUGGAAGCAAGUGAAUGUGAAGAAAGCCAAAGGACUGUUUUAAAGAGACUAGAGGAUAUCGGACUGCACUGGAACUGCUGAUUGACUGGAUUGAGUCUGAAGUGGAGACCUUCUCAUUCCUUUUGAUCCAGACAGGACACACACAAGUGAAGAUCUACUUGUGUCAAACCACACAGGAUGUGAAAAGGAGCUGGAGGAAGAAGAAAAGACACAGAUGGGCAGGGGUUUAGCAGCCUCCUGUAGCACAUUUCUCUCCCAUUUCUUCUUUUUUUGUUGUUAUCAGUGAAUUAACAAGAUUUGGUUUCUUGUUGAAUGUUUUGAGUGCUCCCCAGCAUCUUUUCCUCCCAUUGUUCUGCAUUGCUGUUUCCACAUUAAGCCAGUCACCAUCCAACAUGCACUGCCCAGCUUUAUAUAAAGAUCUAAUAAAUAUAAACGUCUUUUAAUUAUUAUCUAACUGUAAGAAAGCUCAAAAGAGCUCUUUAUGUAAGUACGUUCAUACAUGCUCUCAUAAUUGGCCUAAAGAUGUGUUUAAACUUUCCAGAUAGAUGCUUGAACCUGGGAACCCUAUAUAUGUCUGUGUGUGCAUGAGAGAGUGUUUGAGAAUGCAUACAGUGUGUGUGUGUCUCUUAAAACAAGAUUGAAUGAAACUGUGGAAUAAGAGAAAAUCUCUUUCUAUUCUGCGUUGUAUAGUGCCUUGCCUUCAUGUACAGUUUAUAUAAAGACUGAUGCUAGUCUGCAUUUUGAAGAGAUAUUUGUGAUAUAAAUAAAUAAUGGUGCAAAUAAACACUGAAUAAUGUAGAUCAUGAA